GAACAAACACAUCUUCAUUUGCAUCCAGCAAGAUGUAACCUUAGCAACAGUGUGUAUUUUUGGACUUCUUUUCAUUUAAUGCAAAUGAGGCACCACCGAUAGACCCGGAAUCUGACGACAGAAUUCAACGUGACCAAUUCAUGUGUCUGAGGCCAUGUCUCUUGCCAGCCCAGCAAGAUUCUGAUUUCCUGUCAUCAGCAUGAAUCGCUCUGAGGGGGCCUUGGCCUCAGCCCCUUGCUCUGGAGUCUCCUUCUCUUCUGGUGCUGCUGCUGCCUCCUCCAUCCCGGGCUUGCGUUCCUCCGGAGUGGUUAGAGAAGACAGUCUUUCCAGCUCUAUGGGUUUGGAUUCUGUGACAUGUGAGUUGUUGCACGCUAUGAUAGUUUUUCAAAAGCUCACAUGUGCAGAGCAUUUCAAAAUCCCCCAGCCAUCAUGUCCUUUAUCUUAUCCUCACGUUACUGCCAUCCUGGGAGAUUGACA
rnacentral:lncRNA from 1 species